rnacentral:snoRNA from 1 species
AAGACUAUACUUCUUCUUUAGUUGUUGAGUUGUGUUUGUAAAGAGUUUGGUUUUGCUACCCACGAUGAAGAGUUGAGCUGUUUCCUUCAGAGCAAGAAACUGGUGGGAAGAUUUUGUUUCUUCUCCACUGUUGAAGACUGUUGAGAGUUUUUCAGAGAGGCUCUGAAGGAGGAGACGUGAUCUGAGUGGA